rnacentral:rRNA from 1 species
CCCGGUGAGUGUACUCUUAAACGGCCGCAGUUGAUAAUUGUGCUAAGGUAGCGUAAUAAUUUGUCCUUUAAUUAAGGAAAGGAAUGAAUGGUUUGACGUAAAAGCUUUUGUCUCCAGAAUAAAUAGUGAAAUUUUCUUGCUAGUGAAAAGGCUAGGGAGAAGGUAAAAGACGAGAAGUCCCUAUCGAGUUUAAAUAAGGGCUACAUAUAGUAUAUGUUGUGUAAAGUUUAGUUGGGGCAACUGAGGAGCAAAAGAAGACUCUAUUGGUAAGCAAAGACCCAGAAGGUUUGGUUAGGGAAAAAACUACCGUAGGGAUAACAGCGUUAUCUUCUUUGAGAGAACAAAUUGAAGAGAAG